AACGAACGCUGGCGGCGUGGAUAAGACAUGCAAGUCGAACGGGACUAAAUCUGUAGCAAUACAGGUUUAGUUUAGUGGCGAACGGGUGCGUAACACGUGGGGAAUCUGCCGAGAAGUGGGGGAUAGCUCGCCGAAAGGCGAAUUAAUACCGCAUAUGGUCAGUGAAGACAUCUUCACAACACCAAAGCCGGGGCAACCUGGCGCUUUUUGAUGACCCCGCGGCCUAUCAGCUAGUUGGGAGGUAA
rnacentral:rRNA from 1 species